GUGAAAUUUUGAUCACCGAGGUCAUUAUUAUUUUCUAUAAAAAAAGCUGCUAUUCAAAUAAUUGGUCUUGGCUAUUAAAGGUUUUCUCCCCUAAUUUCAUUUUGGACACGUAACAUUGGUCCCGUGAGAAAAUUUAUAGCGAAUCUCAUUGAACUAAUGAAGACUAUUAUUCAGAAAAUGACUGUAUUGACGACGCUAUGCCCAAGCUUGCUAGUAUAUUAUUUUUUUACAGCUCUUAGCCACUACCUAUCCUCAACCAGAUUGUUCAUAGAUAUAAAUUAGAUUCUCUAAAAUCUAUCUAAAUUUAACAAAAAUAAAGAUUUAUGAAAUUACAAUAAUUUUCUCUUGUAUUUGUCCUGGAAAUAUUUGGCCACGGUGCAUUCCACGGUCUGACCAUUCUCUAAUUGGAGUGGAAAUCUGUCGUAAUCAAUAUUAAGCUGUGAGUAGAAGAUGGUUCGAAAAGGCUAAAUAUGGUAGGUAAAUCAACUAGCAAAAAUAGUGUAUGAUAUUGAUAAAAAUAUUUUCAUCGAAAAUCGAUCCAGAAACAAAUUAUAAUAGUG